rnacentral:rRNA from 1 species
GGUAAACGCUGGCGGCGUGCCUAAAACAUGCAAGUCGAACGGUGUCCUUCGGGGCACAGUGGCAGACGGCUGAGUAACGCGUGGGUGACGUACCUAUCGGUGGGGAAUAACUGCCCGAAAGGGUGGCUAAUACCGCAUACGUCCACUGCUUCGUGGCAGUGGGGAAAACCGCAAGGUGCCGAUGGAGCGGCCCGCGUUCGAUUAGCUGGUUGGUGGGGUAACGGCCUACCAAGGCGACGAUCGAUAGCUGGUCUCAGAGGAUGAUCAGCC